rnacentral:rRNA from 1 species
AACGAACGCUGGCGGCGCGCCUAAUACAUGCAAGUCGAGCGAGAAGGUGUAGCAAUACACUUGUAAAGCGGCGAACGGGUGAGGAAUACAUGGGUAAUCUACCAUCGAGUGGGGAAUAACCAGCCGAAAGGUUGGCUAAUACCGCGUACGCCUCCGAAUCUUCGGGUUCGGAGGGAAAGCCACACUGUGAGUGCGGCGCUCUUUGAUGAGCUCAUGUCCUAUCAGCUUGUUGGUAGGGUAACGGCCUACCAAGGCUUUGACGGGUAGCUGGUCUGAGAGGACGAUCAGCCACACUGGCACUGCGACACGGGCCAGACUCCUACGGGAGGCAGCAGUAAGGAAUAUUGCGCAAUGGGCGAAACCCUGACGCAGCGACGCCGCGUGGGUGAUGAAGGC